UUAUCGAGAAAAUACAGAUUUUUCUAUAUUAAGAAAUGUGGCAUUGGGCUACAUCAUUGUUUCCCAUGUUUUUGGAACUAAGCACACACAUGGGGACUUUACUCAGGGGGUAUUUUGAGCAAACAGUGAACACCCAACAAAGGGGCCGUUGUGUUUAGAUAGAGCCGCCGAGCUGCCCUACCUUCUUUGGUGAUCACUUGUAGCCAAGUAAGAGUGUAUUCCAUAAACAUGGUUUUAACAGUGAGUCUGUAAGUGACUGUGGAGGCCAAUUCUGGAUCUACACAUCCUUCCAUAGUGGGGACAUAGGUUUCCAGGCAGGAGUUGAUCACGGUGAGGGUUUGCCAAGUGUGCCUUCCUCUUAGCAUGUUUCUCCCUUUCGUCCUGAGUUUGAGAGUCUUCAAAGCCAAUGACACCUUUGGUAAAGGCUGUUUUCCAAUUGGAGCACUCGCAGGCCAGUGUUUCCCAGUUGUUGGUGUUUAUACUACAUUUUUUAAAGAAUUGCCUUGAGAGAGUCUUUAAACCUCUUUUGUUGACCACCAUUUUUAAUAAAAAAAAUUCCUUCCAGUAGCACCUUAGAGACCAACUAAGUUCGUCAUUGGUAUGAGCUUUCAUGUGCAUGCACCAUUUUUAAGUUCGGAAUAGAGUAGUUGCUUUGGAACAGGGAACCUAAGGCCCGUGGGCCGGAUGCGGCCCAAUUGCCUUCUCAAUCCGGCCUGCAGAUGGUCCAGGAAUCAGCGUGUUUUUACAUGAGUAGAAUGUUUCCUUUUAUUUAAAAUGCAUCUCUGGGUUAUUUGUGGGGCCUGCCUGGUGUUUUUACAUGAGUAGAAUGUGUGCUUUUAAUUAAAAUUAAUCUCUGGGUUAUUUGUGGGGCAUAGGAAUUUGUUCUCCCCCCCCCCCCGAAAAAAUAGUCCAGGCUCCCCCCUAUGGUCUGAGGGACGGUGGACCGGCCCACGGCUGAAAAAGGUUGCUGACCCCUUCUUUGGAAGAUGAUAAUCAGGCAUCUGCACAACAUUACCAGUCCAAUGAAGUUGAUGUUGAGGAAUCAUUGCUUCGACACUGGUGAUCUUUGCUUCUUCCAAUACACUGGCAUUAGUUCUCCUGUCUUCCCAAGUGAUGUGUAGAAUUUUUUGGAGACACCAUUGAUGGAAUCUUUUGAGGAGCUGGAGAUAGUGUUUUUAAGUGGUCCAUGUUUCACAAGCAUACAGUAAAGUUGGUAGCACAAUAGCUUUGGAAACAAGCAUUUUGGUUUCCUUCAAAUGUCCUGGUCCUCAAACACUCUGCACUUCAAUCGGGAGAAAGCUGCACUCGCAGAGCUCAGGCAGUGCUGGAUUUUGGUAUCAAUGUUGGCCCUUGUGGAAAGAUAACAGCCCAGGUAGGAGAAGUGAUCAACAUUUUCCAACUUUACACUAUUGAGUGGGAUUUGUGACACUGCACAGGGGUUGUUUUGUGCUUGUUGGUGCAGCACUUUAGGUUUUUGGAUGUUGAGCAAUAGGCCAAGCUUUUCGUAAGCUUCUACGAAGAUAUUUAGGAUGGUUUGGAGGUCAUCCUCUGAGUGAGUGCACAAUAUGUUGUCAUCAGCAUACUGAAGCUCUGUGAUGGAAGUUACGGUAACCUUACUCUUUGCUUUCAGCCUACUCAGAUUAAAGAGCCUUCCAUCUGUUAGAUAUAUGAUUUCUACUCCGGAGGGGAGUUUCCCUUCGACAGAGUGAUCACCAACACCGGGGCUGCCAUGGUUUGUUUGAAUGGGUUGGAGCAGGGCAGUGCUAAAGUUGGGGCUUUAUGGGUGCACCAGCAGAGCCAAUCUGGUGUUCCCACCUGUGCAUUUAAAUUUCUGAGCACCAACCUGAGGCUUGUCUUUUAUUUUUUGGCUUUCCCAUUCCCUACAGUGUGGGAAUCCAGCACUGUAGUCUUGCAGCUUUUCAUUUUGUCAUCAAAACCUAUUGUUGCAGGCAGGACAUCCAAAAGGUAGUCUUUCCCCUGUGGUGAUCAUUACUGUUAGACCUUUCCUUCUGUGAUUACAGUGAUUAAAAGGAUCACUGUAUCAUCAGAAAAGUCAAAUUCACAAAAGUUAGUUGAUUGAUAUAUUACCACCAUGCAGGGCCAUUGCAAGAGAUUGCGCUGCCUGAGCUGCCACUGCCCACUGUCCCCUGUACUGCUGCUGCUCCUCUUCUUCAUCUCUCCCGCUCGCAGCAGUGCCUCUCCUCCCUUGCCUUCCUCUUACUGGAGAGAGUUACACUGUCCUUGAAGGAGCAGGUGGGCAGCCUGGAGGAUAGCCAGGGUUUGGCUGUCCAGGCUGUGGUAACCUCUGGGUUAGAUCACUGCAAUUCGUUGUGCACCUUUGGGGGUGGUUUGGAAACUGCAACCAGUGCAGGAUGUGUUAUUUUGAAUGUUAACUGGGACAAGGGCAAUAGUGUCCUGUGUUGCAGGGGGUUGGACUCGAUGACCUUCGUGGUCCCUUCCAACCCUGUGAUUCUAUGGUUCUAAGACAGGAACAUUUAACCCUGGUUCUGGGCUGACUGCACUGGCUGCCGAUUUGUUUGUGGGCCCAAUUCAACGUGCUGGUUUUGACCGUUAAAGUCUUAUAUUGCUUUUCGGCGCUUGCUUAAACAUUUUUGUGAAGACAAGUGUAUGCAGACAUGUAGAAGAUAUAUAUGUUUUUCUUAUUUUUAGCUACCAUUGAUUUUAAUAAUUUUUUGAAUAUACUGAUUUUUAACUGUUUUUAUUGAUAAUUUUUAAUGUUUUAUAUUGUUGUGAACCACUUAAGAGUUGGCUAUUGUUAUUACAAUCAAGCAGUAUACGCUCUCGCACACAAACAUAUAUAUAUAGAAUAUAUUAUGGCUUGGAACUCCUAUACCUAAAGAACUAUCUUUCCCCAUAUGAACCUGUGGUCCAAAGGGUGGUGAUUGACAUAUAGGGCCUUUUCUGUAGUAGCUCCCUGGCUAUGGAAUACAUUUCCAUUGGGAGGCCCAUCUGCUGCUGUCAUCAUUUUGGUGCCAAACAAAGGUGUUUUUAUUUUCUCAGGCACUUGAGCAGCACCAGUGAUUGAAUACUUCUUUUUCUGACUGUGUUUUUAAUACAUCUUUGUAUUUUUAUUAUUGCAUCUUAUUCUUGUUGUAAAUCGCUUUGGGACUUUUUGUUGUGGGAGAAAUGUAAACAUUUAGU
rnacentral:lncRNA from 1 species